rnacentral:rRNA from 1 species
GCGCAGCAGUCGCGAAACUUUACAAUGUGCGAAAGCACGAUAAGGGAACUCUGAGUGCCUCCUAAGGAGGCUGUUCUGAUGUCUAAAAGCAACAGAAGUAAGGGCUGGGUAAGACCGGUGCCAGCCGCCGCGGUAACACCGGCAGCCCAAGUGGUAGCCACGUUUAUUGGGUCUAAAGCGUUCGUAGCCGGCCAGGUAAGUUCCUUGGUAAAUUUAGCCGCUUAACGGUUAAGCUUUCAGGGAAUACUGCUUGGCUUGGGACUGGGAGAGGUCAGAGGUACUCCGGGGGUAGGGUGAAAUCUAUUAAUCCCUGGGGGACCACCGGUAGCGAAGGCGUCUGACCAGACCAGGUCCGACGGUGAGGGACGAAGGCUAGGGGCGCGAACCGGAUUAGAUACCCCCGUAGU